GAUGAACGCUGGCGGCAUGCCUUACACAUGCAAGUCGAACGGCAGCACGGACUUCGGUCUGGUGGCGAGUGGCGAACGGGUGAGUAAUACAUCGGAACGUGCCUAGUAGUGGGGGAUAACUACUCGAAAGAGUGGCUAAUACCGCAUGAGAUCUACGGAUGAAAGCAGGGGAUCGCAAGACCUUGUGCUACUAGAGCGGCCGAUGGCAGAUUAGGUAGUUGGUGGGAUAAAAGCUUACCAAGCCAACGAUCUGUAGCUGGUCUGAGAGGACGAUCAGCCACACUGGGACUGAGACACGGCCCAG
rnacentral:rRNA from 1 species